rnacentral:lncRNA from 1 species
GACAAAUUCGAGCAUCUUAAAAUGAUUCAACAGGAGGAGAUAAGGAAGCUCGAGGAAGAGAAAAAACAACUGGAAGGAGAAAUCAUAGAUUUUUAUAAAAUGAAAGCUGCCUCUGAAGCACUGCAGACUCAGCUGAGCACUGAUACAAAGAAAGACAAACAUCCUGAUCCAUAUGAAUUCCUCUUAUUAAGAAAAAUAAAGCAUCCAGGAUUCAAUGAAGAACUGACUAUCACCUUGUUAAUCAUUCAGAAACAUGUUGCAGACUUAAGCCAUUUUUGAUAUAGAUACUGAAACAAUUACUUGCUAAGAGCAAACUUGAAGGUAUGGAUAAGGCCCUGAGUCAUCUUCCUGAGCUGAAUGAUAGUUAAGCUGAAUUAACAAUUUGGACAAGACAGCAAAUGCUAUUGUCGAAGUUUUCUAAAGAAGAAUCUGAAGUGAAAUGACAUCAAGAGACCUAUCAAGACCUGUAUCCAGGAAAAG